rnacentral:rRNA from 1 species
GACGAACCGUGCGAACGUUGUUCGGAUUCAUUGGGCUUAAAGGGCGCGUAGGCGGCCGCUCAAGUCGGGGGUGAAAUCUUUCAGCUUAACUGGAAAAUAGCCUCCGAUACUGGGUGGCUGGAGGGAGAUAGGGGUGCGCGGAACUUCCGGUGGAGCGGUGAAAUGCGUAGAUAUCGGAAGGAACGCCGGUGGCGAAAGCGGCGCACUGGAUCUCAUCUGACGCUGAGGCGCGAAAGCCAGGGGAGCAAACGGG